UGCCAGCCGCCGCGGUAAUACGGAGGGUGCAAGCGUUGUUCGGAUUUACUGGGCGUAAAGUGUGUCUAGGUGGGAAGAUAAGUCAGGUGUGAAAGACCGGGGCUCAACCUCGGAAUUGCGCCUGAAACUAUUUUUCUUGAGUCAUGGAGAGGUAAGCGGAAUUCCUAGUGUAGCAGUGAAAUGCGUAGAUAUUAGGAAGAACACCAAAGGCGUAGGCAGCUUACUGGCCAUGUACUGACACUGAAGCACGAAAGCGUGGGGAGCAAACAGGAUUAGAUA
rnacentral:rRNA from 1 species